rnacentral:rRNA from 1 species
CCAAUAGCGUAUAUUAAAGUUGUUGCAGUUAAAAAGCUCGUAGUUGAAUUUCGGGAUCAGUACGCUGGUCGUGCCUUAGGUAUGCACUGGUGUCACUGGUUCCUCCCUUCUGAAGAACCGUUAUGCCAUUAAUUUGGUGUGGCGGGGAAUCAGGACUGUUACUUUGAAAAAAUUAGAGUGUUUAAAGCAGGCUCGCGCUUGAAUACAUUAGCAUGGAAUA